rnacentral:sRNA from 1 species
GUGCUGGUGAUGGAGCACGUGGACAUGAGGCAUCUGAGCAGUCAUGCUGCAAAGCUUGGAGCCCAGCUGGCCGAUUUACACCUUGAUAACAAGAAGCUUGGAGAGAUGCGCCUGAAGGAGGCGGGCACAGUGGAGCGUAACGCGCUGUCAGGAUCGAGGGAAUUUUCCGGUAUUUUAAUCUGCUGACAUUUGGAAUCCGUGUGCAGCCCACGUGGGAGAGGAGGUGGGCAGGAGGAACGGCCCUUUGUGGACCAGUUUGGAUUUGACGUGGUGACGUGCUGUGGAUACCUCCCCCAGGUGAAUGACUGGCA